CUUUCUUCUUCUUUCUUCUUCUUUCUCUUCUCCUCCUCCUCCCCUGUUCAUGCUGCUGAUAUAAAUUUGUGAAUCAAAUUCGAGAUUUGUGAUCGUAAUAAGAAAGGAAGUAUCAAAGAUCGAUUUUCAGUGGUGAAGAUAGUUCUAUAAUUGAAUUGGAUCCAGAAGAAGUGAUGUUCAGAGAGAUUCAGUGAGUUAGGGUUUAUGGAUUUGAAGUAAGCUUCGUAUGGAACUGAUAAUGAUGAUUUCUAGUUGGUAAUGGAUGAAGAUCGAAUGGGUUGAUGAUGUGUUUAUGAUAUGAAGUUGUUAUGAAGAUGAAUUGAAGAAUGAAAGAGUUAGGGUUUCAUAAGGGAAUUUUAGGGAAGGUUCAAAAGAUGAAAUUGAUGUUCUGUGGGAUUGAUUUGAAAUGGGUUUGAUACAAAUUAGAAUAUACAGAUGAAAAGUGGUUUGAAUUUGAUAAUCGCGGAUUGGUUUUGUUUGAUGAGGGUUGUUGGAAUCGAUUGUGAUGAACUGAUGGAUUAGGGAUGAGAAGGUGACGUGUUGCUGAAUCGAAUUAUGUUGCUUGAGUGAAACUAAUCCGAGGUAAUGGUUUUCUUAGUUAGUUUGGUAAGCUUAUUGAGUUCAGUUUUGAGUUUAUAAGUUUCUAAAAGAACUGUGAAUAGAGUUUGUUAUGGUUUGAAUCUUAAAUAGGUGGAGGUUAAGAUUAACUGAGUUGGUGGUUUGGUUAUAGUGAUUACGAAAUGAAGUAGUGAUUAUAACUUGGAUUUAUUUUGUAUGAUUGCUUCUUAGGUUAUGGAAGAUAUGUUGGUUUGAAAUUCAAAUAUGAAUGCUUUCUUUGUGAUGUCGAUAAUUUGCUUUGCAGCUAGUGUUGGUACUGCUGUGUUAUAUUUGGGUGAUAUAGAACAUGGAAGAACUUGCAGUGGUUCUGAAAUUGGUAGAACAAGAUGGGAGGUAGUGGUUUGCCAGUUAUGGGAUAUGGAAGAUGUUUGUGAUGCAAUUUUAUGUAAUGGAUUUGUAGUAGAAGUGGUUGUUUGUAUUGAAUACUAAAAUGGUGAUAGCCUGAGAUGGAGAUGUAUAGUUGUAAAGAAGAUGUUGUUAGAAUGGAAACGGUGUUGUUUUGUUGGUGGAAGUUAAUAGAGAAUGAAUGAAUGUGUAGGUCUGGAAAGUGAUAUUGAUAGGUAUCGAGGUAAGUGGAAGUAUGAAUGGUAGUGGUGUAGGCAGUGUAUACAGGAAUGGGAUUGCAGAUGGCUGGGUUGUGUUGGUUGAGUAGACUGUAUUGCAGUUACUUAUGGAAGUGAAGUUGCAGUCUAGUGAAGGAAGCUGAAUGUGAAGACAGUAUUGCUGGUGCUGUUGAGUUGAGUUUAGCUGUGAUGAUGCUGCAAUAUGCAGGAAAGGUGUAACUGAGAUGGUAGUUGUAUGAUUUUAGUUAGGUAUUGCUGUGAAAAGCUUAAAGCUGCAAUUGCAGUUAGUCGGUAUUAACAACGAUCGAUUCAAAGGACGAAGAUCGUGGAUCUCGAGGUAGGCGUGGCUUGUCAUCAAAAGAGUUUCAGGGACAAACCAGAGUUGCGCAGCGAAAACUUCAACGGUUUAUUUCGUUAGUUAGAUUACUUCUUUUAUGUUUAUUAUGUUGUAUAUUCUAUUUGUAAACCAAAUGACUAAUGUACAUGUAUCAUCUGAGAGGAGUUCUUGUAUUAUAUGUUUCAGAGUGGGGCUAGUUUUUGGGU